GUAUUUUGUUUCUUUCUGCUCUCGCGAGCAUACUAGAUACAUGACAUUCUAAUGACAUACAUUGGGGUGUGUAAAAAAACAUAGAGCUUCACUUUCGCAAAGCCCUACUAAAAGUUCACAGGGGUAAAAUGGAUGAGUAGGAAAUGCCCGUGCACAUGUCCCUAAAGACCAGCACUUGACAAUCCUUCAAAUCGUUAAUGAUCCUUCCGCAGGUUCACCUACGGAAA
rnacentral:misc_RNA from 1 species